CUUAAUAGGGCGACUUAGUAUCAUGUUGUAGACCCGAAACCAUGUGACCUACCCAUGAGCAGGUUGAAGGUGAGGUAAAACUCACUGGAGGACCGAACCAGGGCACGUUGAAAAGUGCUUGGAUGACUUGUGGGUAGCGGAGAAAUUCCAAACGAACUUGGAGAUAGCUGGUUCUCUCCGAAAUAGCUUUAGGGCUAGCGUCGAUGUUAAGUCUCUUGGAGGUAGAGCACUGUUUGGGUGAGGGGUCCAUCCCGGAGUACCAAUCUCAGAUAAACUCCGAAUGCCAACGAGAUAUAAUCGGCAGUCAGACUGCGAGUGCUAAGAUCCGUAGUCGAAAGGGAAACAGCCCAGACCACCAGCUAAGGUCCCAAAAUAAUUGUUAAGUGGAAAAGGAUGUGGGGUUGCACAGACAACUAGGAUGUUAGCUUAGAAGCAGCUAUUCAUUCAAAGAGUGCGUAAUAGCUCACUAGUCGCGUGACCCUGCGCCGAAAAUGUACCGGGGCUAAAACAAUUUACCGACGCUGUGGAUUACCUUUAGAGGUAAUGGUAGGAGAGCGUUCUAUGUGUGAAGAAGGUAUACCGUGAGGAGUGCUGGAACGCAUAGAAGUGAGAAUGCCGGUAUGAGUAGCGAAAGACAGGUGAGAAUCCUGUCCACCGUAAGACUAAGGUUUCCAGGGGAAGGCUCGUCCGCCCUGGGUUAGUCGGGACCUAAGGAGAGACCGAAAGGUGUAUUCGAUGGCCAACAGGUUGAUAUUCCUGUACUAGUAUGUAAAGUGAUGGAGGGACGCAGUAGGCUAACUAAAGCGUGCGAAUGGAAGAGCACGUUCAAGCAGUGAGGUGUGGUAUGAGUCAAAUGCUUAUACCUAAUACAUUGAGCUGUGAUGAGGAGCGAAAUUAAGUAGCGAAGUUAGUGAUGUCACACUGCCAAGAAAAGCUUCUAGCGUUUAAUUACAUACUACCCGUACCGCAAACCGACACAGGUAGUCGAGGCGAGUAGCCUCAGGUGAUCGAGAGAACUCUCGUUAAGGAACUCGGCAAAAUGACCCCGUAACUUCGGGAGAAGGGGUGCUGGCGUUAGCGUCAGCCGCAGUGAAUAGGCCCAAGCAACUGUUUAUCAAAAACACAGCUCUCUGCUAAAUCGUAAGAUGAUGUAUAGGGGGUGACGCCUGCCCGGUGCUGGAAGGUUAAGAGGAGUGCUUAGCGUAAGCGAAGGUAUGAAUUGAAGCCCCAGUAAACGGCGGCCGUAACUAUAACGGUCCUAAGGUAGCGAAAUUCCUUGUCGGGUAAGUUCCGACCCGCACGAAAGGCGUAAUGCUUUGGGCACUGUCUCAACGAGAGACUCGGUGAAAUUUUAGUACCUGUGAAGAUGCAGGUUACCCGCGACAGGACGGAAAGACCCCAUGGAGCUUUACUGCAGUUUGAUAUUGAGUAUCUGUACCACAUGUACAGGAUAGGUAGGAGCCAUUGAAGACGGGACGCCAGUUUCGUCUGAGGCAAUGUUGGGAUACUACCCUUGUGUUAUGGCUACUCUAACCCAGAUAGGUUAACCCUAUCGGAGACAGUGUCUGACGGGCAGUUUGACUGGGGCGGUCGCCUCCUAAAAGGUAACGGAGGCGCCCAAAGGUUCCCUCAGAUUGGUUGGAAAUCAAUCGUAGAGUGUAAAGGUAUAAGGGAGCUUGACUGCGAGAGGUACAACUCGAGCAGGGACGAAAGUCGGGCUUAGUGAUCCGGUGGUUCCGCAUGGAAGGGCCAUCGCUCAACGGAUAAAAGCUACCCUGGGGAUAACAGGCUUAUCUCCCCCAAGAGUUCACAUCGACGGGGAGGUUUGGCACCUCGAUGUCGGCUCGUCGCAUCCUGGGGCUGUAGUCGGUCCCAAGGGUUGGGCUGUUCGCCCAUUAAAGCGGCACGCGAGCUGGGUUCAGCACGUCGUGAGACAGUUCGGUCCCUAUCCGUCGCGGGCGUAGGAAAUUUGAGAGGAUCUGCUCCUAGUACGAGAGGACCAGAGUGGACUUACCGCUGGUGUACCAGUUGUCUUGCCAAAGGCAUCGCUGGGUAGCUAUGUAGGGAAGGGAUAAGCGCUGAAAGCAUCUAAGUGCGAAGCCCCCCUCAAGAUGAGAUUUCCCAUGAUUUUAUAUCAGUAAGAGCCCUGAGAGAUGAUCAGGUAGAUAGGUUAGAAGUGGAAGUAUAGCGAUAUAUGAAGCGGACUAAUACUAAUAGCUCGAGGACUUAUCCUG
rnacentral:rRNA from 1 species